rnacentral:rRNA from 1 species
AUCAUGGCUCAGGACGAACGCUGGCGGCGUGCCUAACACAUGCAAGUCGAACGGAGUUAAGACUUCGGUUUAACUUAGUGGCGAACGGGUGAGUAACGCGUGAGAAACCCUGCCUUUCAGUGGGGGACAACAGUUGGAAACGACUGCUAAUACCGCAUAAGCGCACGGUAUCGCAUGAUACAGUGUGAAAAACUCCGGUGGUAUGAGAUGGACCCGCGUCUGAUUAGCUAGUUGGUGGGGUAACGGCCUACCAAGGCGACGAUCAGUAGCCGACCUGAGAGGGUGACCGGCCACAUUGGGACUGAGACACGGCCCAAACUCCUACGGGAGGCAGCAGUGGGGAAUAUUGCACAAUGGGGGAAACCCUGAUGCAGCGACGCCGCGUGAGCGAAGAAGUAUUUCGGUAUGUAAAGCUCUAUCAGCAGGGAAGAAGAAUGACGGUACCUGACUAAGAAGCACCGGCUAAAUACGUG